GGAGGUUGGCUUAGAAGCAGCCAUCCUUUAAAGAUAGCGUAACAGCUCACUGGUCUAAAUAAGUUGUCUUGCGGCGAAGAUGUAACGGGGCUCAAGCCAUGAGCCGAAGCUUAGGAUGCAUUAAUUGCAUGGUAGCAGAGCGUAGUGUGACAUAGUUCCAUGUGUCUUUACCCACCUUCGGGUGGGGUUGGACACAAGGAGCUUUCUGUGAAGCCGGCGCGUGAGCGAUCCGGUGGAGAGAUCACUAGUGAGAAUGAUGACAUGAGUAGCGACAAAGAGUGUGAGAGACACUCUCGCCGAAAAUCCAAGGGUUCCUGCUUAAAGCUAAUCUGAGCAGGGUAAGCCGACCCCUAAGGCGAGGCCGAAAGGCGUAGUCGAUGGGAACCAGGUUAAUAUUCCUGGGCCAGAUGGAAGUGACGGAUCUCGAGGGUAGUUCAUCCUUAUCGGAUUGAAUGGGCUGCUUAGAGGUCCCUGGAAAUAGCUCCAUCGCUAGAUCGUACCCUAAACCGACACAGGUGGACAGGUAGAGAAUACCAAGGCGCUUGAGAGAACUAUGUUGAAGGAACUCGGCAAAAUACCUCCGUAAGUUCGCGAGAAGGAGGCCCGGUUCCUAGGCAACUAGGGGCUGGGGGCACAAACCAGGGGGUGGCGACUGUUUAUUAAAAACACAGGGCUCUGCGAAGUCGCAAGACGACGUAUAGGGUCUGACGCCUGCCCGGUGCCUGAAGGUUAAGAGGAGAUGUGCAAGCAUUGAAUUGAAGCCCCGGUAAACGGCGGCCGUAACUAUAACGGUCCUAAGGUAGCGAAAUUCCUUGUCGGGUAAGUUCCGACCUGCACGAAUGGCGUAACGACUUCCCCGCUGUCUCCAACAUAGACUCAGCGAAAUUGAAUUACCGGUCAAGAUGCCGGUUACCCGCGGUUAGACGGAAAGACCCCGUGCACCUUUACUACAACUUCACACUGGCAUUAGGCCGAACAUGUGCAGGAUAGGUGGUGGGCUUUGAAACGUGGACGCCAGUCUGCGUGGAGCCUCCCUUGAGAUACCACCCUUGUUCUGCUUGAUGUCUAACCGCGGUCCGUUAUCCGGAUCCGGGACCCUGUGUGGUGGGUAGUUUGACUGGGGCGGUCGCCUCCUAAAUCGUAACGGAGGCGCGCGAAGGUUGGCUCAGAGCGGUCGGAAAUCGCUCGUUGAGUGCAAUGGCAGAAGCCAGCCUGACUGCGAGACUGACAAGUCGAGCAGAGUCGAAAGACGGCCAUAGUGAUCCGGUGGUCCCAAGUGGGAGGGCCAUCGCUCAACGGAUAAAAGGUACGCCGGGGAUAACAGGCUGAUACUGCCCAAGAGUCCAUAUCGACGGCAGUGUUUGGCACCUCGAUGUCGGCUCAUCUCAUCCUGGGGCUGGAGCAGGUCCCAAGGGUACGGCUGUUCGCCGUUUAAAGAGGUACGUGAGCUGGGUUUAGAACGUCGUGAGACAGUUCGGUCCCUAUCUUCCGUGGGUGUAGGAUACUUGAGAGGAGUUGCCCCUAGUACGAGAGGACCGGGGUGAACGAUCCACUGGUGGACCAGUUGUUAUGCCAAUAGCAGUGCUGGGUAGCUAUGAUCGGACAGGAUAACCGCUGAAGGCAUCUAAGCGGGAAGCCCCCCUCAAAACAAGGUAUCCCUGAGAGCCGAGAUAGACCAUCUCGUCGAUAGGCCAGAGAUGUAAGCGUAGUAAUACGUUCAGUUGACUGGUACUAAUUGCUCGAUAGGCUUGAUU
rnacentral:rRNA from 1 species